ACUGUACUAUUUGAACAUUGUGACGAAAUCAUCAUGAAGGCUGUUACGAUUCUUAUUUUGGUAGUCGUCGCCAUGGCUUAUGCUCAACGAGGUGGUGCUGGAAUUGAUCCCGCGUUCGGCAGGCCGUCGGUGGGUGGCAACAAUGUUGUUAUCGCUAAUCCAGAUCCCGGCUUUAACCAAGGAGGGCAAAACAUUGAUUCCGCAUUCGGCCGUCCGUCCGUUGGUGGCA